rnacentral:rRNA from 1 species
GACGAACGCUGGCGGCGUGCCUAAUACAUGCAAGUCGAGCGGACCGAACAGGAGCUUGCUCUUGUUCGGUUAGCGGCGGACGGGUGAGUAACACGUGGGUAACCUGCCCGUAAGACCGGGAUAACUCCGGGAAACCGGAGCUAAUACCGGAUAACACCGAAGACCGCAUGGUCUUUGGUUGAAAGGCGGCUUCGGCUGCCACUUACGGAUGGGCCCGCGGCGCAUUAGCUAGUUGGUGAGGUAACGGCUCACCAAGGCGACGAUGCGUAGCCGGCCUGGGAGGGUGACCGGCCACACUGGGACUGAGACACGGCCCAGACUCCUACGGGAGGCAGCAGUAGGGAAUCUUCCGCAAUGGACGAAAGUCUGACGGAGCGACGCCGCGUGAGCGAAGAAGGUCUUCGGAUCGUAAAGCUCUGUUGUUAGGGAAGAAGAAGCGUCGUUCGAACAGGGCGGCGCGGUGACGGUACCUAACGAGAAAGCCCCGGCUAACUACGUG